rfam:Myotis lucifugus cont2.30822, whole genome shotgun sequence.
CAAUAGGAUUUUUUCAAAUCUAUAAAACAUAUGUUUAAAUCCUCAU